GCUUCUUCUCCCUUGAUGGAACAAUGAAUUAGGGUUGAGAGGCUCUCUCCUCCAGGGGCCAGGGGGUCUGGUUUUAUAGUCCCUCCAAGUAAAUAUGGGCCCUUGGAUCAAACCGACAUAGAUUGUAUGGUUUAGAUUCAUCCUUUAGGUCGGUGGAGAUCUCCCGCAAAGCAGAGUCCUGAUUGGACUCAGGAGGUGGGCGGGCGCCCUGACCAACUGGGCGGCCGCCCAGGGUCUGACCCCGUUUUGCCUCCGCUUCGGUCUCGUGGCUUCUGGAGUCUUCUAGAUGUAAGAUAAUUGCGCGGCACGUUAAUAUCUCUAUGUAAUCCUGACAUGUGGG
rnacentral:lncRNA from 1 species